AACGAACGCUGGCGGCAUGCCUAACACAUGCAAGUCGAACGAGACCUUCGGGUCUAGUGGCGCACGGGUGCGUCACGCGUGGGAACCUGCCCUUAGGUUCGGACUAACUCCCCGAAAGGGGUGAUAAUACCGGAUAAUGUCUUCGGACCAAAGAUUUAUCGACUUUGGAUGGGCCCGCGUUGGAUUAGCUCGUUGGUAGGGUAAAAGCCUACCAAGGCGACAAUCCAUAGCUGGUCUGAGAGGAUGAUCAGCCACACUGGGACUGAGACACGGCCCAGACUCCUACGGGAGGCAGCAGAGGGGAAUAGUGGACAGUGGGCGAAAGCCUGAUCCAGCAAGGCCGCGUGAGUGAUGAAGGCCUUAGGGUUGUAAAGCGCUUUUACCCGGGAUGAUAAUGACAGUACCGGGAGAAUAAGCUCCGGCUAACUCCGUG
rnacentral:rRNA from 1 species